rnacentral:tRNA from 8 species
UGUCUCGGUGACGGACGCAGUCGGCUCUCCUAAAGCUGAUAUCAGGGUUCGACUCCCUGCGAGACUAC